GACGAACGCUGGCGGCGUGCUUAACACAUGCAAGUCGAACGGAAAGGCCCUGCUUUUGUGGGGUGCUCGAGUGGCGAACGGGUGAGUAACACGUGAGUAACCUGCCCUUGACUCUGGGAUAACUUCAGGAAACUGGGGCUAAUACCGGAUAGGAGCUCCUGCUGCAUGGUGGGGGUUGGAAAGUUUCGGCGGUUGGGGAUGGACUCGCGGCUUAUCAGCUUGUUGGUGGGGUAGUGGCUUACCAAGGCUUUGACGGGUAGCCGGCCUGAGAGGGUGACCGGCCACAUUGGGACUGAGAUACGGCCCAGACUCCUACGGGAGGCAGCAGUGGGGAAUAUUGCACAAUGGGCGGAAGCCUGAUGCAGCAACGCCGCGUGCGGGAUGACGGCCUUCGGGUUGUAAACCGCUUUCGCCUGUGACGAAGCGUGAGUGACGGUAAUGGGUAAAGAAGCACCGGCUAACUACGUGCCAGCAGCCGCGGUGAUACGUAGGGUGCGAGCGUUGUCCGGAUUUAUUGGGCGUAAAGGGCUCGUAGGUGGUUGAUCGCGUCGGAAGUGUAAUCUUGGGGCUUAACCCUGAGCGUGCUUUCGAUACGGGUUGACUUGAGGAAGGUAGGGGAGAAUGGAAUUCCUGGUGGAGCGGUGGAAUGCGCAGAUAUCAGGAGGAACACCAGUGGCGAAGGCGGUUCUCUGGGCCUUUCCUGACGCUGAGGAGCGAAAGCGUGGGGAGCGAACAGGCUUAGAUACCCUGGUAGUCCACGCUGUAAACGGUGGGUACUAGGUGUGGGGUCCAUUCCACGGGUUCCGUGCCGUAGCUAACGCUUUAAGUACCCCGCCUGGGGAGUACGGCCGCAGGGCUAAAACUCAAAGGAAUUGACGGGGCCCCGCACAAGCGGCGGAGCAUGCGGAUUAAUUCGAUGCAACGCGUAGAACCUUACCUGGGUUUGACAUGGAUCGGGAGUGCUCAGAGAUGGGUGUGCCUCUUUUGGGGUCGGUUCACAGGUGGUGCAUGCCUGUCGUCAGCUCGUGUCGUGAGAUGUUGGGUUAAGUCCCGCAACGAGCGCAACCCUUGUUCACUGUUGCCAGCACGUUAUGGUGGGGACUCAGUGGAGACCGCCGGGGUCAACUCGGAGGAAGGUGGGGAUGACGUCAAGUCAUCAUGCCCCUUAUGUCCAGGGCUUCACGCAUGCUACAAUGGCUGGUACAGAGAGUGGCGAGCCUGUGAGGGUGAGCGAAUCUCGGAAAGCCGGUCUCAGUUCGGAUUGGGGUCUGCAACUCGACCUCAUGAAGUCGGAGUCGCUAGUAAUCGCAGAUCAGCAACGCUGCGGUGGAUACGUUCCCGGG
rnacentral:rRNA from 1 species